UUCGGGUUUUUAUAAAAUGUUUAUCAUUAUUUAACAAAGAUGAUUAUUAAAAAUGAAACAAUCAUAGGUAUGUUUCUUAGUUUUCUAAAUAGGUGACAGAAAACAAUAUGUAAAACUUAAAGACUACAUGCAAUAUGACAAUGUUGUUGACGAGGAGUAACAUCCCUUUCAUGAUCCCAUUUCUACAGAGAGUGACUUGUGUAUUCUGAUCUGAUGUGUGUAUUCAUGAUCCCAUUACUACAGAGAGUGACUUGUGUAUCCUGAUCUGAUGUGUGUAUUCAUGAUCCCAUUACUACAGAGAGUGACUUGUGUAUUCUGAUCUGAUGUGUGUAUUCAUGAUCCCAUUACUACAGAGAGUGACUUGUGUAUCCUGAUCUGAUCUGAUGUGUGUAUUCAUGAUCCCAUUACUACAGAGAGUGACUUGUGUAUCCUGAUCUGAUGUGUGUAUUCUGAUGAAGACCAAUCAUCAACAGUGGCUGGAGGGUUUAUGUUUUUUGAUAAACAUGAAAAACUGAUACACACUUAACUAGUUUUCCCCAGUCUGGUUAUUGCUGUACACCUACAGUACAACCAACCAAACACAUAGAACACAUUGAAAUGUGUUAAAUAAAAUACCUUGGAAAACAAAUUAUAACAACUGUUUUUUCACUGGAUUUUUUUGUUCUGCUUUGAAAAGCAAAAACAUACCUGCCAUGGAGAAGCCGUAAGACUGCUUAUACUUAUUAUAUUAUACUAUCAUAUGUCACGAUUGAGUGACAUUGAACCGAGACAGUUUUAUUUUCACUAAGUAUACAAAACAUGAAGAACACCUGCUCUUUCCAUGACAAACUACCCCAGGUGAAUCCAGGUGAAAGCUAUGAUCCCCGAUUGAUGUCACUUGUAAAAUGUAGACGAGGAGGAGACGGGUUAAAGAAGGAUUUUUAAGCCUUGAGAAAAUUGAGACAGGUUAUUGUUGCCAUUCAGAGGGUGAAUGGGCAAGACAACAUAUUGAAGUGCCUUUGAACAUGGGUAUGGUAGUAGAUGCCAGGCACACCAGCUUGUCAAGAACUGCAACGCUGCUGGGUUUUUCACGCAACAGUGUCCCCGUGUGUAUCAAAAAUGGACCACCACCCAAAAGGACAUCCAGUCAACUUGACACAAAUGCGGGAAGCAUUGGAGUCAACAUAGGCCAACAUCCCUGUGGAAGGCUUUCGACACCUUGUAGAGUCAACAUAGGCCAGCAUCCCUGUGGAAGGCUUUCGACACCUUGUAGAGUCAACAUAGGCCAGCAUCCCUGUGGAAGGCUUUCGACACCUUGUAGAGUCAACAUAGGCCAGCAUCCCUGUGGAAGGCUUUCUACACCUUGUAGAGUCAACAUACGCCAGCAUCCCUGUGGAACGCUUUGACACCUUGUAGAGUCCCUGCCCCGACGAAUUGAGGCUGUUCUGAGGGCAAAAGGGGGUACAAAGCCAUGUUCGGAAGGUGUUCUUAAUGUUUGGUAUACUCAGUGUAUAUCUCAGCCAAAUCUUCCAUAGUUUGCUACUGAGUGUUCGCCAGUAGGAUGUGUAGAGAGGGAAGACUACGUUUCAAAUGACACCCAAUUCCUCAUAAAGCCUGAAAUCCAGAACUUGUUUUGUGCCCAAAUUAAUAAAUUGGCAUGACAAGGAGUGUUAAGGAGAGGAAUGUUAGCUCAAAACUGACUGGAUUUCUCCAGGAUAAUUCCCCACAUGGCUCUGGUCUAAAGUAGUGCACUAUGUAGGGAAUAGGGUGCCAUAGGGCUCUGGUCUAAAGUAGUGCACUAUAUAGGGAAUAGGGUGCCAUAGGGCUCUGGUCUAAAGUAGUGCACUAUAUAGGGAAUAGGGUGCCAUAGGGCUCUGGUCUAAAGUAGUGCACUAUGUAGGGAAUAGGGUGCCAUAGGGCUCUGGUCUAAAGUAGGGCACUAUAUAGGGAAUAGGGUGCCAUAGGGCUCUGGUCUAAAGUAGGGCACUAUAUAGGGAAUAGGGUGCCACAGGGCUCUGGUCAAAAGUAGGGCACGAUAAAGGGCACUAUAAAUGGGUGUCAUUUGGGACGUAUCCAUGCAGUCAUAUCCUCACAAAAGAGCUGCAAGACUGUAUUGAGCUGCUAGCCAAUCACUGAACAGUAAAAGUGACCAGGAACUGACUACUGCUGAAUGGCUAUUGGCUUCUGUGCAUGAUACACACACACACCCUCAGAGUCACAUAUAUUUAAAAGAGAAAAUGAUAAAAAGUAUAUAUUUCAUUAAAAAAAAAAAAAAUUAAGGCCAAAUAUAUGCAAUGUUUUUACAUAAUAUAUGGCAUAUAAUGCGUACACUACACAGAAAAUAUUUGUUAAUAAAUGUAUUGUUCCAGAACAUUAUGCUAUAUAUACCAUUUCUAUUUACAUAAAUAAAGUAAACACAGUACAGAUUUAAUAUGCAUAUGGCAGAACCUAAACUGCAGUUAUAAAACACAUUAUUCACCAUCAUUCCCUAAUGCUUUAUCCAUAUACUGUAUCUUACAGGGCUGUAAUGAUAAGUAACUCAAUUCUACUCAACCACCUACAGGUAUAUUGCUUUUUUAUGAAAAUAAAUGACAGAGUAAAUUGUGCACAGUAGUCAGUGGCCAUCCAGCCCGUGGGUUAUAUAUAUAUAUAUAUAUAUAUAUAUAUAUAUUACUCCAGACUGAACCCAUAGUGAAACCAUAGAGUUAGAUAGAUGACUCAUCUCUGUAUCUGUGUCAUUCCGGGUUAUAUCUAUCAAGAGUUCUCUAACUCUAUGGGUGAAACGCAGCAUAUAUGAGGUUGGAAACAGGCUAAAUAAACAAACAUAAAUCAAUGUGAAGUAUCUGUCAUAGUAUGAAUGAAUGUAAAAGAUGCAAAAAUGAAACAUAAGAAUAGGAAGCAUAGAAGUAGUGCACAUAGAACAGAUCUACCGCGUCUUAGACUUGCUUUCAAUGAUAGUGAUAGAUCUAUUACUCACAUUUCUAUGUGAAUUUGGUCAGGUCGCCCAAAAAGUGACAUAUUGCAGAUUUUAUAUAUAUAUAUUUUUUUUUAAACGUCUCACCGCAUUCUGUGAGUUUAAAAAAAUAUAUUUUAUUCCUGAAUUCCUGAACUGACCCAGGCAGAAACACAGAGGAGGCAGGAACACAGAGAGGCAGGAACACAGAGAGGCAGGAACACAGAGGAGGCAGGAACACAGAGGAGGCAGGAACACAGAGGAGGCAGGAACACAGAGGAGGCAGGAACACAGAGGAGGCAGGAACACAGAGGAGGCAGGAACACAGAGUGGCAGGAACACAGAGAGGCAGGAACACAGAGUGAUAAAACCGUGUAGAUUAAAGUUGAGAGCCACUCUUAACGUUCUUGCUAUUGAGGACUAUAGAACAAUGUGCCGACAAAACACAGUAUUGUAACUGUUUAGUCUACUCUACGGCUGGCUGCUCAGCCUAGUUUUCCUGAGUGACUCUUGACACACUUUAAUAGCAUACCAACACACAACGUUCAACUGGAUUAUACAACAUGUUUACCAAUAAAAGGUAAUUAUAAAUGGCACCCUAUGAGAGAAUCCUGUUCAUUUACUACAGCUCUGCGUUCAACACCAUUGUCCCCUCCAAGCACUUUCCUCUGUAACUUGAUCUGGGACUUCCUGACGAGCCGAUCCCAGGUGGUGAGUGUAGGCAACAUCAUCUCCGCUAUGCUGACUCUCAACAUGGGGGGGGCCACAGGGGUGUGUGCUUAGUCCCCUCCUGUACUCCCUGUUCACCCACGACUGCGUGGCCACGCACGACUCCAACAAUGAGUCAGCCUACAGGGAGGUCAGAGCAAUGUGGUGCCGGAAACAACAACCUCUCCCUGAAUGUCAGUAAGACCAAGGAGCUGAUCGUGGACUACAGGAAACAAGAACGCCCCAUCCACAUCGACGGGGAACCAGAACGCCCUCAUCCACACCGACAGGGAACAAGAACGCCCUCAUCCGCAUCGACGGGGAACAAGAACGCCCUCAUCCACAUCGACGGGGAACAAGAACGCCCUCAUCCACAUCGACGGGGCUGCAGUGGAGCAGGUAGUCAAGCUUCAUAUUCCUCGGUAUCUAAAUCACAAAAAAUACUUAAAAUGGUCCAAAACACACGCAGUCAUGAAGAAGGCGCGACAGUGCCUGCGACAGUGGCAAUAUCACCGCCCUCGAUCGCAUGGCACUACAGAGGGUGGUGAGGACAGCCCAGUACAUCACUGGGGCCCAGCUCCCUGACAUCCAAGACCUCUACAUCAGAGGGUGGUGAGGACAGCCCAGUACAUCACUGGGACUAAGCUCCCUGCCAUCCAGGAUCUCUAUAUCAGAGGGUGGUGAGGACAGCCCAGUACAUCACUAGGACUAAGCUCCCUGCCAUCCAGGAUCUCUAUAUCAGAGGGUGGUGAGGACAGCCCAGUACAUCACUGGGACUAAGCUCCCUGCCAUCCAUGACCUCUAUAUCAGAGGGUGGUGAGGACAGCCCAGUACAUCACUGGGGCCCAGCUCUCUGCCAUCCAGGACCUCUAUAUCAGAGGGUGGUGAGGACAGCCCAGUACAUCACUGGGGCCCAGCUCUCUGCCAUCCCAUCCAGGACCUCUACAUCAGACGGUUUGUCGUCAAAGACCUCAACCAUCCAAGCCACAGACUAUUUUCUCUGCCGCCGCGGUGCAUCAGGUCUGACAACAGGCUCUUGAACAGCUUCUAUCCCCAAGCAAUACGACUGAUAAAUAGCAACACUAAAUAGCUACACGGAUUGAGUUUACCCUUUUAUUUCAGUCUCUAUGCACAAUGUCACAGGGCCCUGUUUAGUCUACACACUGUCACUCCAACACAUAAUAUACAUGUAUAGUGACUCAACACACCCGCACUCACAUACAAGCUGCCACUACUCUGUUUAUCAUAUAUCCUGUUGCCUAGUCUCCUUCCCCCUAUACAUAUCUACCUCCAUCACUCCAGUAUCCCUGUCUCCUUCCCCCUAUACAUAUCUACCUCCAUCACUCUAGUAUCCCUGUCUCCUUCUCCCUAUACAUAUCUACCUCCAUCACUCCAGUAUCCCUGUCUCCUUCCCCCUAUACAUAUCUACCUCCAUCACUCCAGUAUCCCUGUCUCCUUCCCCC
ensembl:lncRNA